GAGGAACGCUGACAGAAUGCUUAACACAUGCAAGUCUUUGGUGAAGCUGUGCUUGCACAGCCUAGCCAAGGCGGACGGGUGAGUAACGCGUAAGGAACUUGCCCUGCAGUCAGGGAUAACAGACGGAAACGACUGAUAAGACCUGGUAAAGUCAGGCGGACUCAUGUCCAGCCUGAUGAAAAGAGAUGCUGCAGGAGAGCCUUGCGUCCUAUUAGCUUGUUGGUGGGGUAACGGCCCACCAAGGCAAUGAUAGGUAGCCGGCCUGAGAGGGUGGACGGCCACAAGGGGACUGAGAUACGGCCCUUACUCCUACGGGAGGCAGCAGUGGGGAAUAUUGGACAAUGGGGGCAACCCUGAUCCAGCAAUUCUGUGUGCACGAUGAAGGUUUUCGGAUUGUAAAGUGCUUUCAGCAGGGAAGAAAAAAAUGACGGUACCUGCAGAAGAAGCGACGGCUAAAUACGUG
rnacentral:rRNA from 1 species